rnacentral:lncRNA from 1 species
GUGGGAUGCGCUCGCCGCGUCCCUGCUCAGGCGGAGGGAGCCCGGCCCGCCGCCAGGGUCUCGAGUCCGGGUCCAGGCAGGCGUGGAGGUGGCGGGAACGGCGCACCGCCCGGGUGGGCGUUGUUUUAAGGCCGCAGGGCUUGGGAGGCUUGUGUUGAGUUACAGGAGUAUGACAACUUUUCAACUUGAGUGCACACACUGUCCCCGGAAUCCCGCGUUCCAGGGAGGAAGCGCCUUUGACAGCGCGCGCCGGUUCGUGGGGCCCGACGGCGUGGGCCUGUGGUUGCGGACCUGGCGGAGAUGCGCGUUCGCUUCGAUUGUAGGCCAUUCCUUUUAGGAGCUGAGAAAGGAUCCGUUUUUACAGCAUUCUCGACCUGUGAUUCUUGGUGGGGGAAACUAGUUAUGUGGAUAAAAAUACAGUUAGCAAAAUAAAAAUGCCAAUUUUACAUUUCCUU